AAACAAUGUUGGCGCAUUCUUAAUUAUCCAAAUUCAAUAUUAACGAAAGUUCUAAAGGCUAAGUAUUUUACAAAUACGAUUUUUUUUUUUAAUUCUGAGUUAGGACAACUACCUUCAUAUAUCUGGAAGAGUGUAUGGGUAGCUAAAGGAUUGCUGAAGAAUGUGAUUUGUUGAAAGGUGAGAACGGGUCAGAAUAUUUCAAUUGCUGCUGAUGCGUAGCUCCCUGGAAUUGUAAGUUAUAAGGCAAAAUCAAUUAGGAAUUCCAGUGAACUAAGUAAAGUGGCGGAUUUUAUUGAUGAACAAAAGAGAGAAUAAAAGUCUGAUUUAAUUUAUUCUACCUUCUCUAAAGAAGAGGCAAACAGAAUUGUGCGAAUACCCUUAGCAACCUCAUGCAGACUUCAUGGUAUAGAAGGGGGAGGCCUCUAUAGAAUUCUUUGUGAGAAGUGCUUAUAAACUAUUACAUGGCUUUCUUCCUAAUUAUUUACAGACUGAGGCUAAUUUAUUUUACAAAAAAUAAUGGAAUAUUCACAUUCCAGGGAAAAUUAAAAUCCUAAUCUGGAAAAUUUCUUGGAAUUUUAAUCAUCAUUUUGUUAAUCUUCGGUGCAAGAGAUUGCUCUCGAUUGUAGUAUGUCCCGGAUAUGGAGCAGCUGCUGAAAACAUUGACCAUAUCUUCAGAGAAUGCCUUGUGAGGCGAGAAGUUUGGGUUAGCUCGAAUCUGGCAUGGGUAUUAACAGAAUUGAUUUUGUCACACUAGACCUGGGUGUUCAAUAAUAGUUCCAGCAUUCACUGUCGAGUAUUUUGCUACUCUUUGUGGGUGAUCUAGACGGACAGAAACAAAGGAUUACAUGAGGGAAAGAGAAGUACGAGCUUAGAAAUUGCUGCAUGGAUAAACAGAUAUAUUAAGGAAUUAGAGGGGUGUAAGGUUCGAGAUUUUACCACGAGGCAUGAGUCCAUAAGUUGGUGUCCACCAGUUGGUUCCAUUUUCAAACUUAGUUUCGACGCCGCUUUUGAUGACUCUCGGGCAAAAUCAGUCUUAGUGGAGGUGGCUAGAAAUUCUUCGGAGGAGGUCCUCGCCUUCAAAACAGUGGCUCAUGGGGAGGUGGCCUCUUCAUUUGCAGUAGAGGCCCUUGCGUGCCUUCAAGCAGUGUUUAUGGGAAAACAGAUGGGGUUCACAUCAGUUAUUAUCGAAGGGGACUCGGUAUCAGUAAUAAAAAAGUAACUCAGAGAAGACUAAUAAAUCAGUGAUUGGGGGUAUAAUACAAAAUAUUCAGCAGAAAAAACAACUUUUCACCAAAUAACCUUUCAACAUGCAUACAGAUCUGCAGAUACUAUGGCUCACAACUUAGCUAGAGAAGCGAUGAAAGGAGAAUCGCGAGCAUAAAUGAUCGGAAGGGUCCUUAAGCAAGGAACAUUGAGGUGGAUCAACGGAGAAUGAGGGAACCUGAUUGAGGGCUGUUUGAUAGAGGGUCUCUGCAUAGGAAGAAAACAGGAAAGUGGGAUUUUGGAAACCGCUUUUCUAGGACUCAAAUCGGUGCAAUAAUUAUGGUAAUGCUGAUUGGAUUCCAACUGUUAUCAGAUUAGAAGUUUAUUUUAAUUUUCUGUUUAGUUUUAAUUCGUCUAUUUCUUUGGUAAUAAUUUUAAGUUUUUGCCACUGUUGG
rnacentral:lncRNA from 1 species